AACUUUCAACAACGGAUCUUUUGGUUCUGGCAUCGAUGAAGAACGCAGCGAAAUGCGAUAAGUAAUGUGAAUUGCAGAAUUCAGUGAAUCAUCGAAUCUUUGAACGCACAUUGCGCCCCUUGGUAUUCCGAGGGGCAUGCCUGUUCGAGCGUCAUUU
rnacentral:rRNA from 1 species